CAGAUUCCGGGUCUUCCUAUCGAUUGCAAAGUAUCAUACAAGUAUAAACAAAUAUUUUAAAAUUGCCUUCAUAGCUUUAACUGCAAGUGAGACAUUUACGUUUAACAAAUCAUGUUUUAUUUUUUGCAGUUUUCCAGGUUGGUGUGGUGGCAUUAUUGCAUAGAUGAGAGACCAUCCAUGAUUCAUACACAACAUCGACUGACGUGGUCUCAGAUUUGAAGCAGGAAGGGUGACCGUGUGUACAUACAGAUCAUGGACUAAGGUGUUGUCAGAUCUGCAGCAUAAAUGGGUUCCAUGGAAACGUACCUCUACGUCUAGGCAGUGGUAUAAUGGAUGGCCGACGGACAGAUGUACAAAGUUAUACAGCAGAUUUUGGAGCAAAUAGGG